AUCCAGCUGACGAGUCCCAACUGGACGAAACCUGAGUCCUGGAU
rnacentral:hammerhead_ribozyme from 1 species